AGUGUAAGAGAGAAAUGAU
rnacentral:snRNA from 1 species